ensembl:lncRNA
GAUUUGUCUUUUUUUGGCUGUCAAAUUUUCAUUUAUAAUUUUUCAUGGCCUUUUCUUUUGAAUAAUUUAUCACUAAAAGUUGUAUUGUUUAAUUUCAAAUAAUUUGGUUUAAAUUUAAUUGAUAAAUUCCUUAUACUACUAAAGUGAUCAUAUGAUCGAGAAAAAAAAAACCCGGAAGGUUCUAUUUUUGUUUCUUCCACACUAUCUAAUAAACCAUUUGAAAUUAAAUCUUUGUCAUUCUAAGUGAACUGGAUUUGAUGUGGAUUUUUUAGUCUCCACACAUAACAAUUUAAGUGCAAACAGAGAUUAUUAAAUUCUCCAUAAGUACCUCUUAAUGAUCUUUGAAGAUGAAUGUCUAUAAUAGGGUCGUUUAUGCUGUUCCAACAUGAACUACGUUUUGUAGGGUUUUUCCCCCGGAAAGACACCCUUAACAUGGCCCCGGGUAUUGAGCUGAUUGAGAUGCACCCAGAGAUUUAGUGUGGAUUUAUUAUUAUUCUCAUCUUAAUCAUGUGUCCAAACACACAGAUAAACGCCCACUGAGAUCCACACACUAUUAUAAAGAUGGCAUUUAUUAAAGAAGAGAGUGAAGAUGUGAAGAUUGAAGAAACAUUCAGUGUCAAACAUUAAGAUAAUGAGGAACAAACAGGUUAGUAUUCAUUCUCAUUUGAUCCUUAUUAAAAUGUUAAUCACUACAGGAGUGUUUGAUAUUUUUGAAGCAUGUCCAGGGGUUUAAAAUACUUGAGAAAGUUUACUUAAUGACUGUAUUUAUUACUUUGGGCGAUUUGUAUGUUAUUGUACUAAGUACAAUGUAAAUUUAAACUGGUAUUUUUAUACCUUACAAUUUAAUUUCAACUUGAGAAUAAAUUGUUUGCAUUUCAUUUUCUACCAUCUUACACCUGUUAAAUAUGGUAAACAGGACUAUGUGUGCUUGGCCUGUGAGAACCAAUGAGGUUUGUGUUCACAAAUCUGAGGAAGCAUAUUGAAGUAGCAUAGUUGCUUAUUCCAAAAUAGUUUAUUCAUUACUUUUGAACGUUUUGCUAUAACCAUUAGCUGUCUGUGUAGUAUAAUGUCUGAAUGCUAAAUAUUGAGUGCACA